rnacentral:rRNA from 1 species
UAGUCCACGCCGUAAACGAUGAGUGCUAGUUGUUGGGCCUUGAGCUCGGUGACGUAGUUAACGCGUUAAGCACUCCGCCUGGGGAGUACGGUCGCAAGAUUAAAACUCAAAGGAAUUGACGGGGGACCCGCACAAGCGGUGGAGCAUGUGGUUUAAUUCGAGGCAACGCGAAGAACCUUACCAGUCCUUGACAUCCCGAUCGCGAUUAAUGGAGACAUUUUUCUUCAGUUCGGCUGGAUCGGUGACAGGUGCUGCAUGGUUAUCGUCAGCUCGUGUCGUGAGAUGUUGGGUUAAGUCCCGCAACGAGCGCAACCCACGUCCUUAGUUGCCAUCAUUAAGUUGGGCACUCUGGGGAGACUGCCGGGGACAACUCGGAGGAAGGUGUGGACGACGUCAAGUCAUCAUGCCCCUUAGUUCUGGGCUACACACGUACUACAAUGCAACGGACAAAGGGCAGCCAACUAGCGAUAGUGAGCUAAUCCCAUAAACCGUUGCUCAGUUCAGAUUGCAGG